rnacentral:rRNA from 1 species
AGAGUUUGAUCCUGGCUCAGGAUGAACGCUGGCGGCGCGCCUAACACAUGCAAGUCGAACGGCACCCCUCUCCGGAGGGAAGCGAGUGGCGAACGGCUGAGUAACACGUGGAGAACCUGCCCCCUCCCCCGGGAUAGCCGCCCGAAAGGACGGGUAAUACCGGAUACCCCGGGGUGCCGCAUGGCACCCCGGCUAAAGCCCCGACGGGAGGGGAUGGCUCCGCGGCCCAUCAGGUAGACGGCGGGGUGACGGCCCACCGUGCCGACAACGGGUAGCCGGGUUGAGAGACCGACCGGCCAGAUUGGGACUGAGACACGGCCCAGACUCCUACGGGAGGCAGCAGUGGGGAAUCUUGCGCAAUGGGGGGAACCCUGACGCAGCGACGCCGCGUGCGGGACGGAGGCCUUCGGGUCGUAAACCGCUUUCAGCAGGGAAGAGUCAAGACUGUACCUGCAGAAGAAGCCCCGGCUAACUACGUGCCAGCAGCCGCGGUAAUACGUAGGGGGCGAGCGUUAUCCGGAUUCAUUGGGCGUAAAGCGCGCGUAGGCGGCCCGGCAGGCCGGGGGUCGAAGCGGGGGGCUCAACCCCCCGAAGCCCCCGGAACCUCCGCGGCUUGGGUCCGGUAGGGGAGGGUGGAACACCCGGUGUAGCGGUGGAAUGCGCAGAUAUCGGGUGGAACACCGGUGGCGAAGGCGGCCCUCUGGGCCGAGACCGACGCUGAGGCGCGAAAGCUGGGGGAGCGAACAGGAUUAGAUACCCUGGUAGUCCCAGCCGUAAACGAUGGACGCUAGGUGUGGGGGGACGAUCCCCCCGUGCCGCAGCCAACGCAUUAAGCGUCCCGCCUGGGGAGUACGGCCGCAAGGCUAAAACUCAAAGGAAUUGACGGGGGCCCGCACAAGCAGCGGAGCAUGUGGCUUAAUUCGAAGCAACGCGAAGAACCUUACCAGGGCUUGACAUAUGGGUGAAGCGGGGGAGACCCCGUGGCCGAGAGGAGCCCAUACAGGUGGUGCAUGGCUGUCGUCAGCUCGUGUCGUGAGAUGUUGGGUUAAGUGCCAUAACGAGCGCAACCCUUCUCCCCAGUUGCCAUCGGGUAAUGCCGGGCCCUCUGGGGACACUGCCAUCGUAAGAUGCGAGGAAGGUGGGGAUGACGUCAAAUCAGCACGGCCCUUACGUCCGGGGCUACACACGUGUUACAAUGGGGGGUACAGAGGGCCGCUGUCCGGUGACGGCCGGCCAAUCCCUAAAACCCCUCUCAGUUCGGACUGGAGUCUGCAACCCGACUCCACGAAGCUGGAUUCGCUAGUAAUCGCGCAUCAGCCAUGGCGCGGUGAAUACGUUCCCGGGCCUUGCACUCACCGCCCGUCA